UGGUGGAGUGAUUUGUCUGAUUAAUUCCGUUAACGAACGAGACCUCAGCCUGCUAACUAGUUACACGAAGGAUCCUCUUCGUGGCCAACUUCUUAGAGGGACUAUGGCCGUCUAGGCCAUGGAAGUUUGAGGCAAUAACA
rnacentral:rRNA from 1 species